rnacentral:misc_RNA from 1 species
UUAAGUUUUUAGUUGUGGAAAAAAAAAAAAUCGCUUUUCAUCUUUUUAACAAUAGCAGUAGAAAGGAAUGUGAAGGAAAUAUCGAGGAAAGGAGGCAAAUGUGAAAAUAGUUCUGAAAAUAUCCAAGAUUUAUGGAUUAAUGCUACAAAAAAAGUGGCACAAGUUAAAAUUGUGGAGAUUAUGAAGAUUUACUUUACAAAAAAUUAUAUGACUUGCACGUCGUAAAGUUAAGAAAAUGCAUAACACAAAAUACUUACGUACAAACUCCUACGAAAGUAAUCAUAGUCAACAUAGUCAACAUUCACAUUCUUCAAGUAUCAGAGUUUCAUCAGAUGAAAAUAUAAAUAAUGUUGUUUCAUCAGAAAAUGUUUCUGAUAAUGCUCCACUAGUUGUUCCUAAAAAGCUAAUUAAAAAUAAGAAAGACUUGCUUAUUAUAAUUUCAAUGGGAUUGAUCUUUUUUGUUGGUCAGACAGCAAAUUCUGUUAUUGCACCGUUCUUUACUUUAGAGGGUGUCAAGAAAAAUGUUUCUGUAACAACAUCUGGACUUGUUUUUACAGUAUAUCCUCUUGUUGUUUUUAUACUUUCUCCAUUUAUUGGAAAAUAUAUGCCUUUAAUUGGUGUAAAGUUUUUACUAAUUGCUGGAUGCUUUGUCGAAGGAAUCACAGAAAUUUUAUUUGGUUUUUUAGGCGACAUUGAUGAUCACUUGACUUUUGUAUCAUUUUGUUUUCUUGUUCGAUCAUUUACUGCUGUUGGAAAUUCAGCUUCUUCUACAGCAGCUAUUGCUAUUCUUAGUCAUACUUUUCCAGAAGACAUGUCUACUGUGUUUGGAGCUUUAGAGCUUUUUUCUGGUCUUGGAUUUAUGACAGGACCAGCUCUUGGAGGUUUUUUAUAUCAGUAUGGAGGUUUCAAAUUACCAUUUCUUGUUACUGGAUCUAUGGUACUAGCUGUAGUGGGUGCAGUAUACUGGGUGUUACCUCCUGAAAGAGCUUAUCAUGAUGAAUCAUAUGAUAAAGAGAAAGAAAAAAAAAUAGAAACAGGGUCUUUGCUUCGAACCAUAUCUGUUCCUGGAAUAUUUGUUAUGGCUAUUACUUGUAUAUUUGGUUCUAUGGUACUUGGUUUCCUUGAUCCAACAAUUACAUUACACAUCACAUCCUUAAAUAAAAACAUUUCACCUCAAAAAAUUGGGUUGAUUUUUUUGUUGCCAGCUGGAUUUUAUGCUUUGUCUGCUCCAUUAGUCGGAUAUUUAACUGAUAAAAGGCUUAAAGCUCGGCACGUAAUAGUCAGUGGUGCUUUUUUUGUUGGUAUUGCAUACUUGCUUCUUGGUCCCUCACCUUUAUUUUGGUCGUUUAUUCCAAGAAAGUUGUAUGUUGUAUUGAUUGCACUUGGAGGACUGGGUUUGGGUAUAUCAGGGUUUCUUGUACCUGUUUUAUCUGACAUGCAUCAAGCUGGAAGUAAAGCUGGACUGUCAGAAACAAUGGGGACAAAAACAGUUAUAUCAGGAAUAUUUAACAGCUGUUUUAGCAUUGGUUCAGUAAUUGGUCCAACGUUUGGUGGUUUUCUUACGGAAAACUUCUCUUUCGAAUAUUUGGAUUUUUGUUAUUAGGUUUGGGAUUAUUUUUGUUGCUUUUCACUGUGUUUGAAUCAAGAUCAAGAAAAUCAACUCGGUCAAUACACUUAGAUGCAUCUAUCUUAAACCCGAAUGUUUAGAUAAACAACAUUAUGAGCUCAUAUACUUAUU